AGGAAUAAAAGAGAAAGACCUUAUAAUUAUACACCAAAUCUAGCAGAAGGUAAGUCUUAAAUUAAUUAAAUUAAACUUUUCAAACAAAACCAUACUGUCUUCCAGACUCAUCCUGCAUAUGUAUAUUGGCCUGCCAGAACUGGUAUUUAUUAUGAGCUAUUUGAAUUUCAAUCAUUUAUUCACAACCCUUAUGUCAGGCUCUCAUUAAAAUUCAUUCACAAGCAACUGGUAGGUAAUACUGGCAACCCAAUGUGUACCUCCUGCUUUUAACCAGAUACUAAAAUCUAGUGAUGGCUCACUCUUACAAAGUUGCACUUAGGCCUGUGGGUGAAGUCAGAAACUUGCUUCACAUAACUUUUUUACAACAUACAAAGUAAGUAUCAUUCUCUGAUGUGCAAAUUGCACUGAUAAGGUGACUCUUUCUGAGGUUAAGUUACAUGCCCUGAGCAAACUAAUUUUCCCCCUUUCAGUUUGUACAUAAAAUUUAUAGCCAGGUGGUAGAGGUCGUAGCACCAAUGUGUGCAGUAAUCAUAUCUAGGGCCAAGAUACUAGGAUUAUAAAAACCUCUCAGCUUUGAUAGUGUGGAUGCUACUUGCUCUCACUGUGGGUACAUGCUAUCUCCCUCCUCUCCUAAUGCUUGAAGGUUGAGUCCACUCUGAACCUUGAUCUUACAAGGGCCCACCCACUGGAUCCAAUCUACAAUGUAGCCUAAGCAAAUCUUUGGAAAGUAAUACAAAAUCUACACCCACAACUAAUGGACAACUAAUGCACCAUUACAGAUACACACUCAUAAACUCUUCUGACAUAAUGCCAGGAAGUGUGUGUAUGGAAAAGGUGUGGCUAUACGGGUGUGUGUGUGUAUGUGGUGUGUAUUAAUGAGAGAUUAAUUUUGAUAGAUUAUAUAGUUUUAUGUUGGAUAUUCUUUCAUUAUAUUGAAUGAUUGUAUAAGAAAUAAGAAAUUUGCAAAUGUCAUUUCCACUUAUGAGAGUCAAUAAAGAAAAUGUAAAAUGGCUGACUUUGGAUCUCAC
rnacentral:lncRNA from 10 species